ensembl:lncRNA
CCUGAUGCUGGGUGGUGAUGCUGCUGUGGUCAGUAUCCUGAUGCUGGGUGGUGAUGCUGCUAUGGUCAGUAUCCUGAUGCUGUGGUAGUGAUGCUGCUGUGGUCAGUAACCUGAUGCUGGGUGGUGAUGCUGCUAUGGUCAGUAUCCUGAUGCUGUGGUAGCGAUGCUGCUGUGGUCAGUAACCUGAUGCUGGGUGGUGAUGCUGCUAUGGUCAGUAUCCUGAUGCUGUGGUAGCGAUGCUGCUGUGGUCAGUAACCUGAUGCUGGGUGGUGAUGCUGCUAUGGUCAGUAUCCUGAUGCUGUGGUAGCGAUGCUGCUGUGGUCAGUAUCCUGAUGCUGGGUGGUGAUGCUGCUGUGGUCAGUAUCCUGAUGCUGUGUAGUGAUGCUGGUCAGUAACAUGUAGUUUUAGUGUGUUGUAAUGUGUUCUGCUGUUGUGGUUAGUGUCAGUGUGUAUAUAUCUGUUCCAGGCUGAAGGAAGAUGUCUCAGAGAGGGAGGUCUCAGAGAGGGAGGUCUCAGAGAGGGAGGUCUCAGAGAGGGAGGUCUCAGAGAGGGAGGUCUCAGAGAGGGAGACGCCAGAGAGGGAGGCGCCAGAGAGGGAGGCGCCAGAGAGGGAGGAGCCAGAGAGGGAGGAGCCAGGGGGACUACGGGUCAGGAGUUCUCUUCCUCCUCCUGGCUGUACCUCCUCAGCGACGUCAAUGCAUCCUUCACAGAGUGGAACAAGAUGUUCUUUACCUGGGGAGAGGACAGAGAGGAGAGGUUAAACAGGAGGGAGAGAUAGAGAGAGAGAGAUAAUUUAUAAAAUUAUGUACACCUUUAUUGGCCCAAUAGUUAAAUAAAUAAAGUUGCACUUUGCAGAAAUUGCUCCUCCAUUUCCUGGUUGCUAAAACUAAGUUUGUCUAAUUUCAUUUUGUAACAAAAUAAGAUGGUACAAUUCUCAAAACCGCUGUGAAAUAUAUUUUCCAGAACCAAGAAUAUUGGUUACCACUUUACUUGACACCCAGCGUCAUAACCUGUUAUAUAUCUCAUAUAUAUAUAUAUAUACAGUUUGACCCAAGACCCCUGUCCUGGUCCCCUGUACCCCUGUCCUGGUCCCCUGUACCCCUGUCCUGGUCCCCUGUGCCCC